UGAGGUGGAGACGUGGAGCUGAAAAACAUCCCACCUCAUUCACUCAUUCAUUCAUUCACUCAUUCAUUCAUUCAUCUACCCAUCCGCUCAUCAAACCUUCAUGGAUAAUGUUGGGUACUUUCUAGGUUCCGAGAAGGUAAAGCUGAGAUGGGGUGCCCAUGCAUAGACACAAAGACUAUGCCCUGGGACACGGACUUCCAUACAGGCCUUGCCAUGUUUCUCUUCUCUCUGUCCCUGCCUCACCCCUGGGCUCCAGUGGCACUGAAGCUCUGGCUACGGCCGCCAACUCCAGGACACUCCUCCUCUGCUGUUCACUGGAUGCUCUCUACUCUCCACCUUACACACCUCUGCUUGCUCUUCAUAACACACACAGCAUGCAGGGAGUUCUUCCGGGAUCUGCCUGGACCCUCAGUGUGACUCUGAUGCUCCUCCUCUGGGCUCCCAUCAUCCCACAGGCUUCCUCUGACCCGUGUCCCGCUUGGUACCUUCUGCUUACCGUCCUGUAAAGCAUAGCGGCCUGGCAGCUGCGAAGCUAAGUGCAUCACCCUCUACCCUUUGUGUUACUAUCGCAGGUUUCGCUAUGUAGCCCAGACUGGCCUUGAAUCCACAGUCCUGGCUCACCCCUCUGGGUGGGAUUAUAGGCACAUGCCGUAUUUAUAAUUUCUGAUGUGUGUUUGUAUCUGGGGAUUCUCCUGCUGGUGUCAUUUGACUUCGGCCUGAGGGAUUUGCUUCCGCAAAUAGUCCCACAUUUCUGGAGAUCUCAGGUAACUGACUCCUUGAAAAGCAAGACUUCAGAGAAGGAGGGAGCCCUGGAUUUACAAAGAUGUCUCUAUGAAAACUUGCCCUGGAUAUGUUUCCAAACUCAACUGUGCUGGGGAACCUGAAUUACACCCACAGUCCACCAUGAAAACCUUCGCCGGGCGGUGGUGGCGCACGUCUUUAAUCUCAGCACUCGGGAGGCAGAGGCAGGCGGAUCUCUGUGAGUGUGAGGCCAGCCUGGGCUACCAAGUGAGUUCCAGGAAAGGCGCAAAGCUACACAGAGAAACCCUGUCUCGAAAAACCAAAAAGAAAAGAAAAGAAAGAAAACCUUGUAUUAGAGGUUUUGGGAUAAAAGCAAAAUAAGACUAAAUGAAACAACCAUCGGGCUGUAUUCUGGAGCACUUGCUACACACUCUGUGUCCUGACUCAGAGCAGGCUGAGGGAGGGCUUGGAGUGUGUAAGAGGGGAACCUAGAGUGGAGGAUAAACUAAGGUCACGCACAGGGAGGUAGUGCCAGGACCAAAGGAAACUUUAGCCUGCGUCACACUAGAGCCCCCAGCAGGUCGCCACAGGACAAGAUUCUAGAGAAUGGGAUGAGGUUGGACCUGGCCAGCCCAGGGUGGGUCUGAUGCUGAGGAUGGAGCUGCUUCCUUCUGUGUAGUUUCGGUUUCUCUUUCCCUGUCUCUUGGAUACUAGAACAUGUAGCUGGCUAAAAGUUCUCAGAUGGUCAGUGAUCCCCGAGCGAAGGUGGGAGCAUGGCUUCCCUUCCAACUGCCCUUAAAGGAAGUGGUCAUUGUCCUAAUCUGGCAAAUGAGGACCCCUCUGAGGUAACAGCCUGAAUUCUAAUCUAGAGACUGUUCAUUGAGCUCCUGAAGGGUGCUGGGGGCAAGGCCUCCUGUGACUAGAGGAUCAAUAUAUUUUCCUGGAUACAAGGAAGCUGGAAGCUGUCCUUGGCAAAGAGAGAAUAAAGGAGAGGAUUCCUCUCCUGGCCACCUACAGCAGCAGAUUAAGACCAGGGACACCUACAGAGACUUCUCACUAAGGUCAGCAUGCGGGCCGAGUUCGCAUCUCUCUCUGGAGGGUCACAGUGUGAGCAGCCAAUUUGAAGACAUCAUUUAAUCCUUGUAAAUGCUUUUUCAGGGAGUAGAGCUCAAGCAGGGGACUAGACUUCAUCCAAAGAGCCAAAGACAGCUCCCUCAGGAGUGGUACUGGAGCCUUGUCUUGAAGAUUGACAAAGGGAUGGAGACUGGAAGGAAAGUUGUCCAAAGAUGCUGUGGGCAGCAGGCUGCAUCCAGAAAGACCUAUGGUUGGGGAGAUGUCGGAGGGAGAACUUGGAUGCAGAAUGUGAACACAGACCAGCUAGGAUCUGAAGAUAAAGCCAACUCACCACAGGGUCAGCCACGGCAAAUCCCUGUAGAGAGCUCUCCCCAAAGUUCUUGGCCAGAGCUGUGUGAGAUCUGGGACAAUGGAAGCCUGUGCAACGCCAGCAGCUUCAGCAAGGACAGGAGGUGGCGCUGUCCGCACAGUCAUCCACGGUUGGAACUGUGCCUCCGAGGCCCCCCACCCCCACCCGGGACCUGGAAGCCAGCGUCCACAGAGCGGCUGCUCCUGACAUCAGCAGUAACAGGAGAUGUACAAAGCCUGGGGAUCUGCGAGGGGCCGUGGCCAGGAAGAAGGGGGAGACUCCAAAUUGAAAACACACCAGAAACACUACCUUGGGGCUCCCUAAACCGUUGAAAGCAGUGACUAGGCUCUGGAAUCCAAGCAAGUGGGCAGGGCUGUUCUGUGGCUGUUGUCUAAACUGCAGGGCCAGGAAAACACUGGUUCCGCAAAGCUUCCCCAUCAGUGCGGACCAUCCAGUGCUCCACUUCCAUCAGGACCAGCUGCUGUGCCUGCAGCAAAAAUAGUCCCUGGGUUGUUUGGGUUCAGGCCCAUCUGAGAAAGGUACCCAGUGUUCCCAUGGCUUCAGCCCUGCCCUGCGGUCCAGUAGGUUGAAUCUUUGUGCUGGACCCUCCUCAUCCUCUCCCUGCUCUCUAAUUCCUACCUUUUGUCCACUGUCUGGCUGAGCCUCCAUACCUCUGGCCUGGGCUGUGGUUUUCAAAACCAUUGUGGUAGUUGUUAGGGUGGCCACAUUCUUCCAGCCUUCCUCCUUUCUGAAUGUGAAAGGAUUAUUCUUCCCGAUCUCUUUCGGUCAGGUAAGACUAUACAAUUAGGGGCUUCAGAGAUGGCUCAGUAUGAAAAGUACUUGCAGCAAAGUCAUGAGGACCUAAGUUUGAAUCCUUAGCACCCAUAUAAAAAGCUGUGCACUGACGGGUGGUGGUGGCACAUGCCUUUAAUCCCAGUACUCGGGAGGCAGAGGCAGAUGGA